CAAUAGCGUAUAUUAAAGUUGUUGCAGUUAAAAAGCUCGUAGUUGGAUUUCGGGGCAGCCUGGCUGGUCCGCCGCAAGGCGAGUACUGGUCAGCCGCCCUUCCUCUCGAAAGCCCCGACUGCUCUUCGUUGCAGUGGUCGGGUAGUUCAGGACGUUUACUUUGAAAAAAUUAGAGUGUUCAAGGCAGGCCUACGCCUGAAUACAUUAGCAUGGAAUAAUGGAAGAGGACCUCGGUCCUAUUUUGUUGGUUUCCAGGGCCGAAGUAAUGAUUAAGAGGGACAGUUGGGGGCAUUCGUAUUUAAUUGUCAGAGGUGAAAUUCUCGGAUUUAUGAAAGACGAACAACUGCGAAAGCAUUUGCCAAGGAUGUUUUCAUUAA
rnacentral:rRNA from 1 species